rnacentral:rRNA from 1 species
CCUACGGGAGGCAGCAGUGGGGAAUUUUGGACAAUGGGCGAAAGCCUGAUCCAGCAAUGCCGCGUGAGUGAAGAAGGCCUUCGGGUUGUAAAGCUCUUUUGUCAGGGAAGAAACGGUGUGGGCUAAUAUCCUGCACUAAUGACGGUACCUGAAGGAUAAGCACCGGCUAACUACGUGCCAGCAGCCGCGGUAAUACGUAGGGUGCAAGCGUUAAUCGGAAUUACUGGGCGUAAAGCGUGCGCAGGCGGUUUUGUAAGUCUGUCGUGAAAUCCCCGGGCUCAACCUGGGAAUUGCGAUGGAGACUGCAAGGCUAGAAUCUGGCAGAGGAGGGUAGAAUUCCACGUGUAGCAGUGAAAUGCGUAGAGAUGUGGAGGAACACCGAUGGCGAAGGCAGCCCCCUGGGUCAAGAUUGACGCUCAUGCACGAAAGCGUGGGGAGCAAACAGGAUUAGAUACCCUGGUAGUCCACGCCCUAAACGAUGUCUACUAGUUGUCGGGUUUUAAUUAACUUGGUAACGCAGCUAACGCGUGAAGUAGACCGCCUGGGGAGUCGGUCGCAAGAUUAAAACUCAAAGGAAUUGACGGCUUGGNGAGNGCGAGACGACGACGAGGGAGAGG